rnacentral:rRNA from 1 species
GACGAACGCUGGCGGCGUGCUUAACACAUGCAAGUCGAGCGGUAAGGCCCUUUCGGGGGUACGACGAGCGGCGAACGGGUAGGAGUAACACGUGGGUGGACCUCGCCCUCCAGCUCUGGGAGUAAGCCUCGGGAAACGUAGGGUCUAAUACUGGAUAUGACUCCACGGUGCAUGUCGUGGGGUGGAAAGCCUUGUGCGGCUGAGGAUGGGCCCGCGGCCUAUCAGCUUGUUGGGU